CAGUCGCCGCGGUAAUACGGAGGGAGCUAGCGUUGUUCGGAAUUACUGGGCGUAAAGCGCACGUAGGCGGAUCAGAAAGUCAGAGGUGAAAUCCCAGGGCUCAACCUUGGAACUGCCUUUGAAACUCCUGAUCUUGAGGUCGAGAGAGGUGAGUGGAAUUCCGAGUGUAGAGGUGAAAUUCGUAGAUAUUGGGAAGAACACCGGUGGCGAAGGCGGCGACCUGGUCCUUGACUGACGCUGAGGCGCGAAAGCGUGGGGAGCAAACAGGAUUAGAUACCCCGGUAGUCCCUGUCUCUUAUAC
rnacentral:rRNA from 1 species